ACCUGAUGGUGUGGCCAUUUAUGAAGUAGGUCCCUAGAACGCUCCCAGGUCUCAAAGAAAAGUUCUCCAUUUGUUUGUGUGAAACUUGUGAUUGCCCUUCACAGCU